rnacentral:tRNA from 1 species
GCCUGGCUGGCUCAGUCAGAAAAGCGUGUGACUCCCGAUCUCGGGGUCAUGGGUUCAAGUCCCACGUUGGGCA